CUGUGGAUGCCUGGGGUGUGGAAGCCUGGGGUGUAGACUCCUGGGGGGCAGCUGAGCAGCAGCGGCGUCUGGAGAGGGGCAGCGGCUCAGCAGCAGGAGGCGCGGGCAGGCGGGACCGGGUUUGUACCCACUGCUGCGCUCAGACCCCGGAGGGAAUUGCCGCAUCCUCACGGCCCGUUGAGGGCCCAGCGUGGGCUCAGGGCAUGUCCUUGCCCCUGAGGAGCUGAGGCAGUGCCACGUGAAGCUGGAGGGCAUGAGAGCCCCCAGGGGAACGUCUCCGGGUCUAGGUCUCGCUGUGAACAGAUGAAAACACGAACAGAGUAACUGGGAGGACGGCGGGAAGGACAGGCUUUGCCUCCUGGGCAGCGGGAGAGGCCGACGUGGUGACAGGCGCUGGCUGCGGGCGACGGAGGCCCAGGACACGGCCCGGACCCACUCACUGUCCCCCCACCUCCUCCUCCACCUCCUCCUCCUCUGUCACCUCCUCCUCCACCUCCUCUGGCUCCCAAGGCUGUAUUUUUGCAGGUCUCACCACUGGGGUAUUUGGUGUUCCCCGGAGUUGCAGUCUGAGGAGCACUGCUGGGGUGAGCACGUCCAGAUGCGACUGUGCCAGCGUCACCCUUGGGGACCGCAGACCCAGAACUGCUGUUACAGCGGAUGCACCUGAACAGUUUCAUAGCGACCGUACGAGGCUCUUCAGUCGGUGAUGUAAAUUCUGCCAACGUACAGAAUAACACCCAGUGCUCAUCCCGUCAAGUGCCAUUUUUUAUAAGGUGACCUGUCGAGCAUUUGUCGGGUCCCGGCGGAGAAGUUCUCACCCAGCUCCCUCUCUGGCUGGUCUUCUAUCACCACACAAAUGGAUCAUCCCUUUCUUGCUAUUUGGAAAUUUUGAUCAUUUCCAGCUUUUCACUGUAACAGAUGAUGCCGCAGCGAAGUCUUUGUUCAUCUUCUUCAGGCAGUCGUGCUAACCUUGCUAAGGUAUGGUUCUGCACAUAUCUUUAAGUAGUUCCACAUUUCUC